rnacentral:rRNA from 1 species
GUCUAAGUUCCUUGGAACAGGACAACACAGAGGGUGAGAUUCCCGUAUCUGGGCGCCUGCCUUUGCCGUGUAAAGCCCCUUCGACGAGUCGAGUUGUUUGGGAAUGCAGCUCUAAAUGGGAGGUAAAUUUCUUCUAAAGCUAAAUACCGGCCAGAGACCGAUAGCGCACAAGUAGAGUGAUCGAAAGAUGAAAAGUACUUUGGAAAGAGAGUCAAAUAGCACGUGAAAUUGUUGAAAGGGAAGCGCUUGCAGCCAGACUUGCCCGCAGUUGCUCACCCAGGCUCCGGCCUGGGGCACUCUUCUGCGGGCAGGCCAGCAUCAGUUUGGGCGGUUGGAUAAAGGCCUCUGUCACGUAUCUCCCUCCGGGGUGACCUUAUAGGGGAGGCGUAAUGCAACCAGCCCGGACUGAGGUCCGCGCAUCUGCUAGGAUGCUGGCGUAAUGGCUGUAAGCGGCCCGUCUUGAAACACGGACCAAGGAGUCUAACAUCUAUGCGAGUGUUUGGGUGUCAAGCCCGGACGCGUAAUGAAAGUGAACGGAGGUGGGAACCCUCACGGGUGCACCAUCGACCGAUCCUGAUGUCUUCGGAUGGAUUUGAGUAAGA